GAACUCCCAAAAGUGCGAUUUUGGACUUAGCGAAUUUUUUGAAAUUCGUUUGAAACGUUUCGUCCUAAAUGUUUUUGUUUAGUUAUUUUUUGUACUCCGGAGUUACGAGUUGGAUUUCAGGUAAGUAAAACGGACGGAUUUUUGGUUGCGAAAAGGUUCGGUCUGGACUGGUACUGGACAAGGGAAUCUGUCCAACGGUGGACGGAUUACCUACCGAUGUUGGCGAAAAGGUUUUGCAAGAGGAAUCCGUCCGCCGGUGGACGGAUAACCUGCCAAUGUUGGCGAAAAGGUUCCGUCCACCGAUGGACGGAUCACGGCACAAGGUUUUGCUAGAGGAAUCCGUCCGCCGGUGGACGGAUUGCCUUCCAAUAAUAGCGAAAAGGUUCCGUCCGCCGGCGGACGGAUUACUGGACAAGGUUUUUCAAGAGGAAUCCGAAAACCGGUGGAUAAAUUGCCUUCCGCCGGUUUAGCAAGAGAAUUCUUUCCAACGGUGGACAGGUUUCGGCAAAGAUGGGAAGAGCUAUCGGAUAGGCGUUGGAUGGAUUUUUAUGGUUAAGUUUGACUUUUAUUUUUAUUUUUUUAUGAUAUUUCAGAAAAAUACGAAUACUCUGCAAGACUCACUUCCCGAAGAUCUUUUGGAUUCCAGCAUGAAUGUGCCUUGGGCCAGACUGGCCCGAACGACAACAUCGCCGCAUCACAGGUUUGCGACGGGGUUCGCUGAACCGUCCCGUCCUUUCGUAUUAAUUUUAUCACCAUCUGCGAUGGAUCCCUCGUUCCUACCGAGUACGCGUUCCGGAUUCGACAACCCUCAAACUGUUAAAACUUAUUCUUGAUAAAGCUUAUCUGUAACUAACCUUUUGUUUUUAGGUCAACUCGGACAAUCCCGGAAAAAAACAUCUACCGCACACAAUCUAGAUACAUUCCCCGCAAUGGACAGUAUCGGGCACGAGCCGGUUCACCCGUUCGCAGGACAGCCGCAGUUCACCUGCAACGAUCUGAAGCGACCACCCAAGUGGUUGAAGCGACCAACGGGAACGUGCUUUGGGUUUGGCGGCAAGCUGGUCACGUUCAACGGAACGAGUCGCACCGCACCAUGGUCACGUACCUGUUGGUGAUGCUGUACCGCUGUAUGUGCACCCGGAACUACGCCGAGUAGCGAGCCAGCUGGACCGCGGACAGUGAAAACGAGCAGGAACCAAAUUAGCAACAUCGCGUCUUGGAAGGCGUUGCUAUCCAGGUCAACAACCACCGCGUCGAGUAUCUCGUAACGGACGAAACAUGAUUGCCAGUUCCUGUUUACAAGGUCACUUUAAAAUUUGGGACGUGACGAAUGGCGAACUGAUGGCGGAAAUCCACCGUAACAACUACUUUGACAUGCAACGCAAGGAGGGCCAACGAUCGCCAACGGGACCUGUGCUGAUCAAAGGCAAACCCUCCAACACGAACAUCACCAGAAUGCAGGAAAUCUACCCCGAACAGUACCCCACGAGCUUCGCCUACAGGCUGAAAAAGAAGCUUCAGUUCAACUUCACCAGUCCAAACAAAGCCAAGAACCGAAAUCCGGCAAGGAUCCGUCCCUCUUUGACUUUGCGGCACAGUACGUGAAGGUGUUUACCAGCGAUCCGGCGAACUCACAGAAACGACUCAGCAAUGGCGGAUUGUGAGCGGAGCUCCGAAACCGCUUCCUCUCGUCUUCCGGUCUAAAUACGAUGCGACCACCGUGCAGCUGCGACAAAACCACAACGAAGAAAAGUUCCAACGACCUAGCAGCAGUACGGCGCGCAAGAAAUCCUACCAAACCUCGCCGAUCUGGCGCUGGACUUUCUGGAUAAUCUCAUCGUGAUCGGGUGCGCCGACGGGCGGCUCGAGUUCUGGGACGGCACCACCGGCAACUUGAAGGGCAUCUACGAGCCGGAGCACACCCCCAACAACGGAGUCACCAACAUCAAGCUGACCGCGGACAAGGUUGUGGCUCAGCAGCCGCAUCGACUUCCUGCGGCUCGAAACGUAGACUCAGGGUGGGCAGAUCGACUGGGGAUUUACGUCCGCGUACCGGCGCACGCACAUUCGCACCGGUUCGGCGGGUAGCUUAAGCAUGUUCCGGCCAGUUCGGCCAGCGUUCAAGUUUCACCAGCAGGGCCCCCAGAUGCCGGAGACGUGUCGGGAGGUGAAACCGUCAUGACCGAUAGCAUGGACCUGGACCACACGGUGAAGGUGUUCCGGCACGGUCACUGCGGGCCGAUCUCGUGUCGUGGCCCGUUCAAGCCGCCGAAGCCUGGAGCUGGAUGUGACCUCGGCCGAGGACAACCGCAAGAUGCACGAGUACAAGCAGGAAAAAAUCCUGAGCAUGGUCAAGCACGCCACCAGCGGCAGAAUCGUGCCUCGCUUGGGCUUAACUACACACAGGAAGUGGAACUGGUAACCGGAACUCGCCUGUUGUCGUCAUCGUGCUUCCGGCAUUUGUCAACGAACCUAAAAAUCGGCGGAGACACGCGAUCCUGUCCGGUGCAGCAUUAAAGAAGUCGACUAAAAUAAUAAAAUAAAAAUAACGCCGUGUUGUUAAUAUAUUUUAAACUUAGUUUUUAGUUCAAUCCCAAAAGAGAAAUCAAAAAGCGCCCGAAGAUAGGCAACCUCUAAACCUGUGAAAUAUUUCCCCAGCUCGAACUCGGCAAAUCAUGAAAAUCAUGAUUUUGCCAGUUCGACCCACUUUACCAAAAAAAGUCAAAGUAGUUAUGUCACAGACAUAACCGGAAUGGCGUAGACUUACGUAAAAUUUAGAUAUGUGGACAUGUGGGUUUUCCAUAUAUUAAUUUGAAGAAUUAGCUAUAUAUAUAUUGGAAGGAACACCCAUUCGAACGGCAAAGAGAGGAAAGAAAGAGACGAAGGAAUUUUAGCGAGCCGAAUGGGGGGAGGGGGAGAGGGGGCAUAGGGGUUGGGGGCGAGAGCAGCCUCAGAAAGCUGUGCAAUCCGUCGCCCCCGAAGACCAAAAUUUGUUCCUGAAAUUUAAAUUAAAAUUAGCUCGCUGCCUCGUCCCGGGUGGGACGAGGGCAACUCUUUCAACACUAGAAUUUGAUGAGACGUAAAUCUUUCAGAAGCGCUCGCCGCGAAUGCGACGAGCUAGUUGGAUGUCCCGAUUGUUUAACAACCAAGGCUUGACCCACGAGAGGCUUUUCGGCGGAAGGCAGCAGGCGCGCGCCUCAUCUUGUUGAUGCCUCGUCCCGGGUGGGACGAGGGAUGGGAAUUGAAGCACCUCCGAACCACAGCAACCACGAAAGAUCCUAACGGUCCGGCCAUCGAGAGGCAACUGGCUGACGGUGACGACGAGAAGGCGAUGCGCACUUCUUUUCCAGUUCUGGUCCCUCUCUCCUGCUGCUGCUGCUCUGGUCUCUCUCCUGCUGCUCUGGGCUGAGCUUUCCUGCUGCUGCUGCUGCUGCUGCCGGUCCGACGUCUGAGACGUGAAUGAUGGAAUGGGCUCUGGCGCACGUUCUUAUGUAUGAUUUCGGCCCGCUACUUCCCCUCCUUUUUCGCGACCGACACUCGGUCGCGUUGCUCGGAUGAUUUUCCCCUCAAAAUAGGUACUUGACAUUCCCGUCCGUGAGUGGGAAGCGCUCAUUUUGCUUGCAAAAUCUCUGCAUUUUGAAAACAUUUUAAAACAUUCAAUUGUUUCAAUAGUUAAACUAUUUUGCCAACAAUGAAAGUUUUAUAGCAAAUUGCUGAAUAAUUUUCGAAUCGAAUGGCACAUAAAUCGUGUCGAUUCGAUUAGAGGGAAGGAAGAUAUAAGCGUUUGACGGAUGACGCAGUAAUCCAGGGCCUUCGGCCCGGGUUUUUUGGAAUGACACCCCAGUACCUUCGACAAAGACGUAAGUCUACGUCAAA